rnacentral:rRNA from 1 species
GAUGAACGCUGGCGGCGUGCCUAAUACAUGCCAGUCGAGCGAACAGACGAGGAGCUUGCUCCUCUGACGUUAGCGGCGGACGGGUGAGUAACACGUGGAUAACCUACCUAUAAGACUGGGAUAACUUCGGGAAACCGGAGCUAAUACCGGAUAAUAUAUUGAACCGCAUGGUUCAAUAGUGAAAGACGGUUUUGCUGUCACUUAUAGAUGGAUCCGCGCCGCAUUAGCUAGUUGGUAAGGUAACGGCUUACCAAGGCAACGAUGCGUAGCCGACCUGAGAGGGUGAUCGGUCACACUGGAACUGAGACACGGUCCAGACUCCUACGGGAGGCAGCAGUAGGGAAUCUUCCGCAAUGGGCGAAAGCCUGACGGAGCAACGCCGCGUGAGUGAUGAAGGUCUUCGGAUCGUAAAACUCUGUUAUUAGGGAAGAACAAAUGUGUAAGUAACUAUGCACGUCUUGACGGUACCUAAUCAGAAAGCCACGGCUAACUACGUG